rnacentral:rRNA from 1 species
GACGUAGGGCGCGAGCGUUGUCCGGAUUUAUUGGGCGUAAAGAGCUCGUAGGCGGCUUGUCGCGUCGUCCGUGAAAACUUGGGGCUCAACCCCAAGCUUGCGGUCGAUACGGGCAGGCUCGAGUUCGGUAGGGGAGACUGGAAUUCCUGGUGUAGCGGUGAAAUGCGCAGAUAUCAGGAGGAACACCGGUGGCGAAGGCGGGUCUCUGGGCCGAUACUGACGCUGAGGAGCGAAAGCGUGGGUAGCAAACAGG